rnacentral:rRNA from 1 species
UACGUAGGUGGCAAGCGUUGUCCGGAUUUACUGGGCGUAAAGAGCGCGCAGGCGGUCGUUCAAGUCGCGUGUGAAAGCCCCCGGCUCAACUGGGGAGGGUCACGCGAUACUGAUCGACUCGAAGGCAGGAGAGGGGUGUAGAAUUCCCGGUGUAGUGGUGGAAUGCGUAGAUAUCGGGAGGAAUACCAGUGGCGAAAGCGGCACCCUGGCAUUAGCCUGACGCUCAUGUGCGAAGGCGUGGGGAGCGAACGGG